CUAGUAUAAGCACUUAUACCGUGAAACUGCGAAUGGCUCAUUAAAUCAGUUAUCGUUUAUUUGAUAGUACCUUACUACUUGGAUAACCGUGGUAAUUCUAGAGCUAAUACAUGCUAAAAACCCCGACUUCGGGAGGGGUGUAUUUAUUAGAUAAAAAACCAAUGCCCUUCGGGGCUCUUUGGUGAUUCAUGAUAACUUAACGGAUCGCAUGGCCUUGCGCCGGCGACGGUUCAUUCAAAUUUCUGCCCUAUCAACUUUCGAUGGUAAGGUAUUGGCUUACCAUGGUUUCAACGGGUAACGGGGAAUUAGGGUUCGAUUCCGGAGAGGGAGCCUGAGAAACGGCUACCACAUCCAAGGAAGGCAGCAGGCGCGCAAAUUACCCAAUCCCGACACGGGGAGGUAGUGACAAUAAAUACUGAUACAGGGCUCUUUUGGGUCUUGUAAUUGGAAUGAGUACAAUUUAAACCCCUUAACGAGGAACAAUUGGAGGGCAAGUCUGGUGCCAGCAGCCGCGGUAAUUCCAGCUCCAAUAGCGUAUAUUAAAGUUGUUGCAGUUAAAAAGCUCGUAGUUGAACCUUGGGCCUGGCUGGCCGGUCCGCCUCACCGCGUGCACUGGUCCGGCCGGGCCUUUCCUUCUGGAGAGCCCCAUGCCCUUCACUGGGUGUGCGGGGGAACCAGGACUUUUACUUUGAAAAAAUUAGAGUGUUCAAAGCAGGCCUUUGCUCGAAUACAUUAGCAUGGAAUAAUAAAAUAGGACGUGCGGUCCUAUUUUGUUGGUUUCUAGGACCGCCGUAAUGAUUAAUAGGGAUAGUCGGGGGCAUCCGUAUUCAAUUGUCAGAGGUGAAAUUCUUGGAUUUAUUGAAGACGAACUACUGCGAAAGCAUUUGCCAAGGAUGUUUUCAUUAAUCAGUGAACGAAAGUUAGGGGAUCGAAGACGAUCAGAUACCGUCGUAGUCUUAACCGUAAACUAUGCCGACUAGGGAUCGGGCGAUGUUACUAUUUUGACUCGCUCGGCACCUUACGAGAAAUCAAAGUUUUUGGGUCUGGGGGG
rnacentral:rRNA from 1 species